AGCAAGGGCAGACUCAGGCCCUGCCCCUAACACCGGGAGCCGAGCUGCCCGAGGAGCGUCCCGUGACAGCGGUGAAGGCGGCCGACUGAAUGAUAUCAGUAUCUGAUGUUGACUCGUUUCACCAGGCCAAGGCUUUUGGUGAGAAGAACUUUAUUUCCUGGGAAAGAAAGGAAAGUCUCAGUCCUCAAGGAGAAUGUAUAUAUUGGACCCCAGGAGAGACACACAGAGAAGGAAUAAAGAGAGAGUCUGGGACUUCACCGACCUCCCAGAUGAGGAAAACCUGUCUACCAUGCAGGGAUGAUAAAAAGGGUCUUUCCUGGGAAACUGACUUUGGGAGUCUCCCUCGGAGAGGACGCUCUGCCAUAGGGACUUUCCCAAGCGAGACCCUGACGGCUGUGAUACAGGACGCCCCCAGCCAGACGUUCAGGACUUGGUGCUUCCUCGGACUGGUGAUGUAUUUCUUCUUCUUUAUCUUUCUAUCUUUCUGUUGAUAGCCUUUGCUUUUCAGAUUGUAUAAUCAUAUGUAAUCACAUUUAUGUGCAUGUGUUUAUGAUUAUUAUCAUUAUUGAAUCAUUUAUAAGCUAGGAAAAGCGUGAAUGUGUCUUUGUGGGUACAGAUCCAAGCCUGUGAGACAAAUUAUAAGUGCUGCAGCCCAUAACACCUUACUGUUAUGUGGAUAUCUGUAAAUGGGGUAAUAAUAGAGGGGGAGUGGGGGGGGAGUGACUAAGAAGCUAGCCUCGGGGUCAAGUGGCCCUGGGCCAGUCACUCACCAUUUCAAUGCUCCAAACAACUAAGAUUUUAAUAGAUAAGCAAGUUGUUUAUCCCCUUUGAUAGAGGGAUUUUCCUCCCCUGGGAUUCCCAAAGAAAUCGUGGCUAGGAAUAAGGAAAAGCCUGUAGUACCCACCUGACGUGCUUGUUCUGAGUCUUACGUGAGAUAAGUUAUGCCAAGCACCCUGAGAAGGUGAAAUCACUAUGUAAAUGUCAGUUCCUAAUCUGUCCUCUGAAACUGGGUCAGGAAACAAAGGGUGCUGUGAGUCUCUGGGCAGAGGAAGGUUCACCUGAGUCACGAAGCCAAGGUCACCAGAGCAGACUACCUGUCUAGGUGUCACAGGAAGGCUUUGCCACCCAUCAAAAGUCUCCCAUGCUUCUUUUCCUGAUUCCCAAAAUUCCAAUAAGGGUCAAGGCAAAUGAUUUGGCCAAGGUGGUCCAGUCUGUAUGUAGCAGAGAAGCCAGGUUAUCUCAUUCCAGUGCCGCUCUCUGCAUUCCCAACACAACAAUCUUUCCCCUCCACCGCUUGCCUCAGAAGCAAUGCUCAUGAUUCAUCAGUCCGUUACAUCAGGCGCUACAAAACACAUGCCUCCCUCACAAUUUUUCCGAGGCUGGAUUUUUCCCUGGUUGUGCAGAAGGAGUAUUGUUGGCGGCUGAGUACAGCUGCUUCUUUUUCCUCUUCACACUGAAAAUCCUAUUCCAAAGCCCAGCACUCUUAAAAGUACUUUCCAGGUCUCCUGCUUCCAAUGCACGAAAUAGAAAAGGCUGAGGGGGUGGCUGAUUCUGGGGGGAAAUACACUUUUGAUAUGUAAUUGCUUUGUUGAAAGAGCCACCAAGAAUGGCAAAGCCACUGUGCCAAGAAGAAUUUAUCCAGGGCCGGGGGGGGGGGGGAUGCUGUGAAACCACCUCAUCCAAUUCUCCAGCCCUCUGAAAGCUUCCAUUGUAGUCACAGGCAAAAUGCUUUUGAGACUGUCAAAAAAGCCUGACCCUGGUUUGUAUGCCUGAUAAUGCCAUGCGUCAAAAGUGUUUGACAGCAACAUCACUGGCACGUUUUAGGAAAUACAUACUAAGGAAAUGGAAGUGGGGGUGCCUCCAGAUUGGCCGUUGGGGGGCUUGGGUCGGAAUCCCAACUGUUGCCACCUUUGUGAAGCUCAGCCGGUCUUUAAUCUUCAUCAGACUCAGUUUCCUCCUUAGUAAGGUAAAAGUUGAUUGGGACCGAGAGUUGUCACCCUUUCUCCUCUCAUUGAUCUCUUGAGUCAUGCAGUGAAGCCUCUGGACCCCUUCUCAGAAGAAUAUUUGUAAAUGCAUAUGUCACCCAAGCCCAUUGGUAUGGAACUCACUCCUCGUUAGUGGCAAUCAGUGCCCUCUGCCCACACAAGGAACAGAACUGGGGCUGUCAAGAAAGGGAGGGAGGAAAGACCCCACCUCUUCAGUCUCUUUGUGGUCUUCUGCCUUCCAGCUUGGAGAGAGAAGAGUCACAACUCUAACCUCUCUUCCCGCCAAGAAAGGGAGAAAAAGAUUCUGGGAAGAAACUAACAUGGAGAACCUUGAUCAUGUUUCUAGUCACAGCUUGUUGCUCUAGAGACUUCAGGGAGCUUCUCUUUGGGUGAGAUCUGGGACUCUCUCUUGGCUGAACUCUUACCUUGCUCCCAAUGAAGAGUUCCUUCAAUCUGUGUUGUCUGAUGUAUGACAUGUAUGUAUACAUAUACAUAUACAUAACAGAAGUUAUAUGUGAUGGUUAUACAGUAG